rnacentral:rRNA from 1 species
GGACAAGUGAAUAAGUGCACAUGGUGGAUGCCUUGGCGAUUACAGGCGAUGAAGGACGUAGUAGCUUGCGAUAAGCUGCGGGGAGCUAGCAAACAAGCUUUGAUCCGCAGAUUUCCGAAUGGGGAAACCCACCCUUUAUGGGUAUUGCAUACUGAAUACAUAGGUAUGCAAGGCGAACGCGGCGAACUGAAACAUCUAAGUAGCUGCAGGAAAAUAAAUCAACCGAGAUUCCCAAAGUAGUGGCGAGCGAAAUGGGAAGAGCCUGCACGUUUUAGCAUGACGCAUAGAAGAAUCCUCUGGAAAUAGGAGCCAUAGCGGGUGAUAGCCCCGUAUUCGAAAUGCGAUGUGUGGAACUAAGCGUGCGACAAGUAGGGCGGGACACGAGAAAUCCUGUCUGAAUAUGGGGGGACCAUCCUCCAAGGCUAAAUACUCGUAAUCGACCGAUAGUGAACCAGUACCGUGAGGGAAAGGCGAAAAGAACCCCGGGAGGGGAGUGAAAUAGAUCCUGAAACCGUGUGCAUACAAACAGUAGGAGCGGACUUGUUCCGUGACUGCGUACCUUUUGUAUAAUGGGUCAGCGACUUACAUUCAGUGGCAAGGUUAACCAUAUAGGGAAGCCGUAGAGAAAUCGAGUCCGAACAGGGCGAUAGUCGCUGGGUGUAGACCCGAAACCAAGUGAUCUACUCAUGGCCAGGAUGAAGGUGCGGUAACACGCACUGGAGGUCCGAACCCACUAAUGUUGAAAAAUUAGGGGAUGAGCUGUGGGUAGGGGUGAAAGGCUAAACAAACUUGGAAAUAGCUGGUUCUCUCCGAAAACUAUUUAGGUAGUGCCUCAAGUAUCACCAUCGGGGGUAGAGCACUGUUAUGGCUAGGGGGUCAUCGCGACUUACCAAACCAUUGCAAACUCCGAAUACCGAUGAGUGCGAGCUUGGGAGACAGACGUCGGGUGCUAACGUCCGGCGUCAAGAGGGAAACAACCCAGACCGCCAGCUAAGGUCCCAAAGAUUGGCUAAGUGGAAAACGAAGUGGGAAGGCUAAAACAGUCAGGAUGUUGGCUUAGAAGCAGCCAUCAUUUAAAGAAAGCGUAAUAGCUCACUGAUCGAGUCGUCCUGCGCGGAAGAUGUAACGGGGCUAAGCCAGUCACCGAAGCUGCGGAUAUCCAGUAAUGGAUAUGGUAGGAGAGCGUUCUGUAAGCCUGCGAAGGUGUCUUGUAAAGGAUGCUGGAGGUAUCAGAAGUGCGAAUGCUGACAUGAGUAGCGAUAAUGGGGGUGAAAAGCCCCCACGCCGUAAGCCCAAGGUUUCCUGUUCAACGUUCAUCGGAGCAGGGUGAGUCGGCCCCUAAGGCGAGGCAGAGAUGCGUAGCUGAUGGGAAGCAGGUUAAUAUUCCUGCACCGUCGUAUGAUGCGAUGGGGGGACGGAUCGCGGAAGGUUGUCUGCCUGUUGGAAUAGGCAGUUUCUGGUUCAUAGAAGGCGCUUAGGCAAAUCCGGGCGCANNNNNNNNNNNNNNNNNNNNNNNNNNNNNNNNNNNNNNNNNNNNNNNNNNNNNNNNNNNNNNNNNNNNNNNNNNNNNNNNNNNNNNNNNNNNNNNNNNACUGAAGCAAUCGGAAGUGGUUCCAAGAAAAGCCUCUAAGCUUCAGUCAUACGAGACCGUACCGCAAACCGACACAGGUGGGCGAGAUGAGUAUUCUAAGGCGCUUGAGAGAACUCGGGAGAAGGAACUCGGCAAAUUGGUACCGUAACUUCGGGAAAAGGUACGCCCUUGUAGCUUGACUGGCUUGCGCCAGAAGGGUGAACGGGUUGCAAUAAACUGGUGGCUGCGACUGUUUAAUAAAAACACAGCACUCUGCAAACACGAAAGUGGACGUAUAGGGUGUGACGCCUGCCCGGUGCUGGAAGAUUAAAUGAUGGGGUGCAAGCUCUUGAUUGAAGUCCCAGUAAACGGCGGCCGUAACUAUAACGGUCCUAAGGUAGCGAAAUUCCUUGUCGGGUAAGUUCCGACCUGCACGAAUGGCGUAACGAUGGCCACACUGUCUCCUCCCGAGACUCAGCGAAGUUGAAGUGUUUGUGAUGAUGCAAUCUACCCGCGGCUAGACGGAAAGACCCCAUGAACCUUUACUGUAGCUUUGCAUUGGACUUUGAACCAAUCUGUGUAGGAUAGGUGGGAGGCUUUGAAGCGGGGACGCCAGUUCUCGUGGAGCCAACCUUGAAAUACCACCCUGGUUUGUUUGAGGUUCUAACCUUGGUCCGUUAUCCGGAUCGGGGACAGUGCAUGGUAGGCAGUUUGACUGGGGCGGUCUCCUCCUAAAGUGUAACGGAGGAGUUCGAAGGUACGCUAGGUACGGUCGGACAUCGUGCUAAUAGUGCAAUGGCAUAAGCGUGCUUAACUGCGAGACUGACAAGUCGAGCAGGUACGAAAGUAGGACAUAGUGAUCCGGUGGUUCUGUAUGGAAGGGCCAUCGCUCAACGGAUAAAAGGUACUCUGGGGAUAACAGGCUGAUUCCUCCCAAGAGUUCAUAUCGACGGGGGAGUUUGGCACCUCGAUGUCGGCUCAUCACAUCCUGGGGCUGUAGCCGGUCCCAAGGGUAUGGCUGUUCGCCAUUUAAAGUGGUACGUGAGCUGGGUUUAAAACGUCGUGAGACAGUUUGGUCCCUAUCUGCCGUGGGCGUUGGAAAUUUGAAGGGGGCUGCUCCUAGUACGAGAGGACCGGAGUGGACAGACCUCUGGUGUACCGGUUGUCACGCCAGUGGCAUUGCCGGGUAGCUAAGUCUGGAAGAGAUAACCGCUGAAAGCAUCUAAGCGGGAAACUUGCCUUAAGAUGAGAUUUCCCAGAGCCUUGAGCUCUUUGAAGGGUCGUUCGAGACCAGGACGUUGAUAGGUCAGGUGUGGAAGUGCAGUAAUGCAUUAAGCUAACUGAUACUAAUUGCCCGUACGGCUUGUCCCU